UCCUAGAGAUAGGACUUUCCCUUCGGGGACAAAAUGACAGGUGGUGCAUGGUUGUCGUCAGCUCGUGUCGUGAGAUGUUGGGUUAAGUCCCGCAACGAGCGCAACCCUUAUUGUUAGUUGCCAGCAUUAAGUUGGGCACUCUAGCAAGACUGCCGGUGACAAACCGGAGGAAGGUGGGGAUGACGUCAAAUCAUCAUGCCCCUUAUGACCUGGGCUACACACGUGCUACAAUGGACGGUACAACGAGUCGCAAGACCGCGAGGUUUAGCAAAUCUCUUAAAGCCGUUCUCAGUUCGGAUUGUAGGCUGCAACUCGCCUACAUGAAGUCGGAAUCGCUAGUAAUCGCGGAUCAGCAUGCCGCGGUGAAUACGUUCCCGGGCCUUGUACACACCGCCCGUCACACCAUGAGAGUUUGUAACACCCAAAGCCGGUGGGGUAACCUUUUGGAGCCAGCCGUCUAAGGUGGGAUAGAUGAUUAGGGUGAAGUCGUAACAAGGUAGCCGUAGGAGAACCUGCGGC
rnacentral:rRNA from 1 species